GAUGAACGCUAGCGGGAGGCCUAACACAUGCAAGCCGAGCGGUAGAGUUUCUUCGGAAACUUGAGAGCGGCGCACGGGUGCGUAACACGUGUGCAACCUACCUUUAUCUGGGGGAUAGCCUUUCGAAAGGAAGAUUAAUACCCCAUAAUAUAAUGAUUGGCAUCAAUUAUUAUUGAAAACUCCGGUGGAUAGAGAUGGGCACGCGCAAGAUUAGAUAGUUGGUGAGGUAACGGCUCACCAAGUCAAUGAUCUUUAGGGGUCCUGAGAGGGAGAUCCCCCACGCUGGUACUGAGGCACGGACCAGACUCGUACGAGAGGCAGCAGUGAGGAAGAUAGGACAAGGGGUGAGAGCCUGAUCCAGCCAUCCCGCGUGAAGGAUGACGGUCCUAUGGAUUGUAAACUUCUUUUGUACAGGGAUAAACCUACCCUCGUGAGGGUAGCUGAAGGUACUGUACGAAUAAGCACCGGCGAACUCUG
rnacentral:rRNA from 1 species